rnacentral:lncRNA from 1 species
CUCCAACUGGAAAAGAAGGACAAAGCCUGGUCCACAGGGCAGUAGGCAUAGCCAGAGGCCACACGCAGCUGGCAUGGGGGAUACUCAUGUUCCAGGGAUUGAACUCAGGACCUUGUGCUUGGGAGGCAAGCAGCAGCACCACUGAACUAAAUCUCCGGCCCCUUCUCAGACUUUUUAGGACAGGACCCAUUAUCCCCUCAGGCCUUCACAAGGAGGCCUACUACCCUUCAGACCCCUCAGGACAAGGCAGACAUCCUCUCCAGGGAUAUCCCCUCCAGGCCAGAGACUAGUUUCCUCCCCUCAGACCUCCAGGCCAGGCCAGGGCCCCUCCUCCAGCCCCUAGUCCCUCUCUGCCUUGGCAGCCCAGGAGGUGCUGACAGCCUGCUAACCACAGGCAGACUACCCCUGGCUCUAGCCCCACCCCCCAACUUCUCAGGACACCUGACAUAGCCGCUAUCUAUCUACCCUGGGUCAGGGCCCAGUGCCAGGACUGUGUUAGCCAAGCAGCUGUUGGGAUUUCCGGCGCAGGGAGCCUCUCAGCCACAUUCUCGUCUGGAAUCUCCUGGACAAGUGUGCC